AUGACAACAAGACCAGGAAAAACAGCAUCGUGUCAGCUUCUUCCCUCAACACUUUAUAUUUAUAAUAAACCACAAGUCUUUAGUGUUGCUAAUUCCCAUAUAUCACUGGCUUUAACGAGAAUCUCAAACAAUAGUUGUGUUAAAGCUCUGCAUUAAAGUUGCAUAGCAGGAUGUAUUCACAGGCCUGCGAUUUAAUGGAGAUGCGUGCACGACAAGCCGAAGAUAAUGGGACAUUGGGGAGCAACACAAAUUUGCAUGUACUGCCCUUAGGGAGGGACGGUGCUUCGAGGUCAUUUCCGUCACAUCGCAGAGAAAGACUUCACUGUUUGUGCAUCCCCGGCGUGGCAGGCGGUCAAAUGCAGCGCCUUUGUGCUGCAGCAAUCGCUGUGACACGCUGGCAUGCAAUGACUCGUCUGUAGAGGAACAGUAGGAGCCUGUCAUGGACUACAGAUACUCUGGUACCUUACCAUUUUGAUUCUUGAUGUCACUGUUACAUCUCGCUCUAUGCAAAUCAGCUGGGCUUUAAACAAAUGUGCUCAACAUAGCACAACACUGUGGAGCUGGAGCAUAAUAAUCAGUAAGCAUGCAUGGAUCAGGACUUGUUGUUGCACAUUUCCAUAAAGAGCACAUUUCCAUAAA